rnacentral:rRNA from 1 species
GGGUACAGGCUUUAGACUCGGCUCUACUCUCACUCCCUUUGUGAACGUACCUCUGUUGCUUUGGCGGCUCCGGCCGCCAAAGGACCUUCAAACUCCAGUCAGUAAACGCAGACGUCUGAUAAACAAGUUAAUAAACUAAAACUUUCAACAACGGAUCUCUUGGUUCUGGCAUCGAUGAAGAACGCAGCGAAAUGCGAUAAGUAAUGUGAAUUGCAGAAUUCAGUGAAUCAUCGAAUCUUUGAACGCACAUUGCGCCCCUUGGUAUUCCGGGGGGCAUGCCUGUUCGAGCGUCAUUACAACCCUCAAGCUCUGCUUGGAAUUGGGCACCGUCCUCACUGCGGACGCGCCUCAAAGACCUCGGCGGUGGCUGUUCAGCCCUCAAGCGUAGUAGAAUACACCUCGCUUUGGAGCGGUUGGCGUCGCCCGCCGGACGAACCUUCUGAACUUUUCUCAAGGUUGACCUCGGAUCAGGUAGGGAUACCCGCUGAACUUAAGCAUAUCAAUAAGCCGGAGGAAACUUCGAAUACAGCUCGCUCAGCC